GACGAACCGUGCAAACGUUUAUUCGGAAUCACUGGGCUUAAAGGGUGCGUAGGCGGCUGUCUAAGUAGGGUGUGAAAGCCCCCGGCUCAACCGGGGAAUUGCGCCCUAAACUGGAUGGCUAGAGUGAGGUAGGGGUGUGUGGAACUUCCGGUGUAGCGGUGAAAUGCGCAGAUAUCAGGAGGAACACCGGUGGCGAAGGCGGGUCUCUGGGCCGAAACUGACGCUGAGGAGCGAAAGCGUGGGGAGCAAACAGG
rnacentral:rRNA from 1 species